rnacentral:ribozyme from 1 species
GCACAAUGAAAGAAAAAGAAAAAGAAAAGGAAACCACACAAAAAGGAUGAUCUGGUGAUGGUGACGUUGCUUCUUUUAUU